UACGAAGGGGGGCUAGCGUUGUUCGGAAUUACUGGGCGUAAAGCGCACGUAGGCGGGUUGUUAAGUCAGGGGGUGAAAUCCCGGAGCUCAACUCCGGAACUGCCUUUGAUACUGGCAAUCUAGAGACUGGAAGAGGUUAGUGGAAUUCCCAGUGUAGAGGUGAAAUUCGUAGAUAUUGGGAAGAACACCAGAGGCGGAAGGGCGGUUACCUGGACAGUUUACUGACGCUCAGGCACGAAAGCAUGGGGGAGCAAAAGGG
rnacentral:rRNA from 1 species